rnacentral:rRNA from 1 species
UGGGGAAUAUUGGGCAAUGGGCGCAAGCCUGACCCAGCAACGCCGCGUGAAGGAAGAAGGCUUUCGGGUUGUAAACUUCUUUUGUUAGGGACGAGUAGAAGACGGUACCUGACGAAUAAGCCACGGCUAACUACGUGCCAGCAGCCGCGGUAAUACGUAGGUGGCAAGCGUUGUCCGGAUUUACUGGGCGUAAAGGGAGCGUAGGCGGAUUUUUAAGUGGGAUGUGAAAUACCCGGGCUCAACCUGGGUGCUGCAUUCCAAACUGGAAGUCUAGAGUACAGGAGGGGAAAGCGGAAUUCCUAGUGUAGCGGUGAAAUGCGUAGAGAUUAGGAAGAACACCAGUGGCGAAGGCGGCUUUCUGGACUGUAACUGACGCUGAGGCUCGAAAGCGUGGGGAGCAAACAGGAUUAGAUACCCUGGUAGU